UGGACUGCCUCACAUCCUUUGUAGGUUUUC
rnacentral:piRNA from 1 species